rnacentral:rRNA from 1 species
UUAGAGGAAGUAAAAGUCGUAACAAGGUCUCCGUUGGUGAACCAGCGGAGGGAUCAUUACUGAGUUUACGCUCUAUAACCCUUUGUGAACAUACCUAUAACUGUUGCUUCGGCGGGUAGGGUCUCCGCGACCCUCCCGGCCUCCCGCCCCCGGGCGGGUCGGCGCCCGCCGGAGGAUAACCAAACUCUGAUUCAACGACGUUUCUUCUGAGUGGUACAAGCAAAUAAUCAAAACUUUUAACAACGGAUCUCUUGGUUCUGGCAUCGAUGAAGAACGCAGCGAAAUGCGAUAAGUAAUGUGAAUUGCAGAAUUCAGUGAAUCAUCGAAUCUUUGAACGCACAUUGCGCCCGCCAGCAUUCUGGCGGGCAUGCCUGUUCGAGCGUCAUUUCAACCCUCAAGCUCCGCUUGGUGUUGGGGCCCUACAGCUGAUGUAGGCCCUCAAAGGUAGUGGCGGACCCUCCCGGAGCCUCCUUUGCGUAGUAACUUUACGUCUCGCACUGGGAUCCGGAGGGACUCUUGCCGUAAAACCCCCCAAUUUCCAAAGGUGACCUCGGAUCAGGU